GAGUUUGAUCCUGGCUCAGGAUGAACGCUGGCGGCGUGCUUAACACAUGCAAGUCGAACGAACCUUCGGGUGAGUGGCGGACGGGUGAGUAACGCGUGAGAAUCUGCCCUCAGGAGGGGGACAACAGCUGGAAACGGCUGCUAAUACCCCAUAUGCCGAGAGGUGAAACGAAUUUCGCCUGAGGAUGAGCUCGCGUCUGAUUAGCUAGUUGGUGUGGUAAAGGCGCACCAAGGCAUCGAUCAGUAGCUGGUCUGAGAGGAUGAUCAGCCACACUGGGACUGAGACACGGCCCAGACUCCUACGGGAGGCAGCAGUGGGGAAUUUUCCGCAAUGGGCGAAAGCCUGACGGAGCAACGCCGCGUGAGGGAUGAAGGCCUCUGGGCUGUAAACCUCUUUUCUCAAGGAAGAAGAUCUGACGGUACUUGAGGAAUAAGCCACGGCUAAUUCCGUGCCAGCAGCCGCGGUAAUACGGGAGUGGCAAGCGUUAUCCGGAAUUAUUGGGCGUAAAGCGUCCGCAGGCGGUCCAGAAAGUCUGCUGUUAAAAAGUGGAGCUUAACUCCAUCAUGGCAGUGGAAACUACUGGACUAGAGUGUGGUAGGGGCAGAGGGAAUUCCCGGUGUAGCGGUGAAAUGCGUAGAUAUCGGGAAGAACACCAGUGGCGAAGUCGCUCUGCUGGGCCAUAACUGACGCUCAUGGACGAAAGCCAGGGGAGCGAAAGGGAUUAGAUACCCCUGUAGUCCUGGCCGUAAACGAUGAACACUAGGUGUCGGGGGAAUCGACCCCCUCGGUGUCGUAGCCAACGCGUUAAGUGUUCCGCCUGGGGAGUACGCACGCAAGUGUGAAACUCAAAGGAAUUGACGGGGCCCGCACAAGCGGUGGAGUAUGUGGUUUAAUUCGAUGCAACGCGAAGAACCUUACCAGGGUUUGACAUCCUGCGAAUCUUCCUGGAAACGGGAGAAGUGCUUUCC
rnacentral:rRNA from 1 species